rnacentral:lncRNA from 1 species
CCCCCAGGUCCCCCAGCCAUCCCCAGGAUCUGAAGAGUGGACAGCUGGCACAGCAGUCCCCUCCCCCAAGUGUGUCAGUCCCUCCGUGCCUGGGCUGCCCUGACUGUUAAAUAUCUCAAAUGUCACCCUUGCUCACAAAGACAUCAUCUGUGUGCCCACAGCCUCUCUCCUCCCUAAGGAUGCUCCGGGGAGGGGGCCCUAGGCAAACCCACAGCUCCUCAGCCUGCCUUGGAUCCCUGCUGCUUUCCAGAGACAGUCUCAGCACAUUUCCUGGGCCUAGCCAGGCCUGAGCCCCAGUCAGGGGAUGGGAGCGGGGUGUGCUGAGGUGGCCAAGUCGUCAAGGAUGCAGCAGGUGAUCUCGUCACAGUCCCACAUGCUACAGGCCCCGGAGUUGCUGAGCUAAGCUGGCAAUGUCUCUGCCUGUUGUGGAAUCACAGAAAACCCAGGGACGAUGGCUGCCUCUGCUGUGAAUAUUAACAACCUUGCUUCCCUCGGCCUUCCCUUCCGGGCUGCCUCCUGCUUCAAAGGCUGCCCUGGCCAGCCCCUCCCUGGGGCUGGUACCUCGGCCCUUCUAUUUUGGUGGCAUGGCAGGGGUGGGGCAUAGCCUUGCCUAGCCUUGCCUGCCCCUCACGGGUGCUCUCACAUCCUCUCUGCCAUAGGGGGAGGCGCUACUCUGGGAGGUGGGGGGGCCACGGAGACACUCAGAUGUUCUGAACAAAAAUAAAAGGUGCCCGGGUGGCCUAUCUGCAUUUUCAAACACCUCCAACCUACAUCCCUUGAACUGCUUUCACCUCUUGCCCUCUAAGGAGCUGGCAGGCUUCAAAGCCACUUC